rnacentral:lncRNA from 1 species
GUGUUAGUAUAAGUAAAUGACAAAUCAGUAAACUGAACUGGCACAUCGGGAAAUUUGAUUACUUCAGUCCAGAGGUUACAAUAUAUGAUGGAUUAUAUGUAAAUUGUUUCUGAAUAGAUCUACAAUUGAGGAACGGAAAACCAAUUAGGCUUUUUUGUGUAACAUACUCAAUCAAUAUAUGGACCUUGGAAUCAAAGGGGAAUAUU